GGGGCCGUAGCCCAAUUGGCAGAGGCACACGGUUUAGGUCCGUGCAAGUGGGGGUUCAAGUCCCCCCGGCCCUA
rfam:Kibdelosporangium phytohabitans strain KLBMP1111, complete genome.